GGGGCCGAUUAGGAUUCGACGCCGGUAGCAAAACUCGAGGGGCAUGCCGAGUUGGUAACAGAACUCGUAAAUAAACUGUUGCAAACCUCCAUAAUUGCCAAUGAUGACAAUUACGGUGCUCAACUAGCUGCGUAA
rnacentral:tmRNA from 1 species